GAUGAACGCUGGCGGCGUGCUUAACACAUGCAAGUCGAACGAUGAACCGGGUGCUUGCACUCGGGGAUUAGUGGUGAACGGGUGAGUAACACGUGAGCAACCUGCCCCUGACUCUGGGAUAAGCGCUGGAAACGGCGUCUAAUACUGGAUAUGUCCCGUCACCGCAUGGUGUGCGGGUGGAAAGAUUUUUCGGUUGGGGAUGGGCUCGCGGCCUAUCAGCUUGUUGGUGAGGUAAUGGCUCACCAAGGCGUCGACGGGUAGCCGGCCUGAGAGGGGGACCGGCCACACUGGGACUGAGACACGGCCCAGACUCCUACGGGAGGCAGCAGUGGGGAAUAUUGCACAAUGGGCGGAAGCCUGAUGCAGCAACGCCGCGUGAGGGAUGACGGCCUUCGGGUUGUAAACCUCUUUUAGCAGGGAAGAAGCGAGAGUGACGGUACCUGCAGAAAAAGCACCGGCUAACUACGUGCCAGCAGCCGCCGCGG
rnacentral:rRNA from 1 species